rnacentral:rRNA from 1 species
UUUCUGUGGGGACGGAGCGGCCGGCCGCAACUUGCGGUUCGAGCUAGCGCUUUCCCUACAUCCUGCCGCGAACCGUGCUACCAUUAGUUUGGUGGCGCCGGGGAUCGGCUCGUUUACUUUGAGAAAAAUAGAGUGUUCAAAGCAGGCCACACGCCUUGAAUAAGUUAGCAUGGAAUAAUAAUAAAGGACUUCGGUUCUAUUUUGUUGGUGUUCGGGACUGAAGUAAUGAUUGAUAGGGACAGUUGGGGCGGUCAGUAUUCCAAAGCGAGAGGUGAAAUUCUUAGACCUUCGGAAGACUAACAGCUGCGAAAGCGUUCCGCAAGGAUGUUCCCUUUGAUCAAGAACGAAAGUUGGGGGAUCGAAGACGAUCAGAUACCGUCGUAGUCUCAACUAUAAACUAUACCAGCUAGGGAUCGGCCAACGUUAAAUUAUUCGACUUGGUCGGCACCUUAUGAGAAAUCAAAGCAUCUGGGUUCCGGGGGGAGUAUGGUCGCAAGGCUGAAACUUAAAGGAAUUGACGGAAGGGCACCACCAGCCGUGGAGCCUGUGGCUUAAUUUGACUCAACACGGGAAAACUUACCAGGUCCAGACAUAGUAAGGAUUGACAGAUUGAUAGCUCUUUCUUGAUUCUGUGGGUGGUGGUGCAUGGCCGUUCUUAGUUGGUGGAGUGAUUUGUCUGGUUAAUUCCGUUAACGAACGAGACCCCAGCCUGCUAAAUAGCGUGGUUGAGCUUUGCUCGGCGCAAGCUUCUUAGAGGGACUAUGAUGCGCGAUAGCACAUGGAAGUUUGGGGCAAUAACAGGUCUGUGAUGCCCUUAGAUGUUCUGGGCCGCACACGGGCUACACUGGCGCCUGCAACGAGCAUAUCAGCUGGCCCGAGAGGGUCUUGGCUAAUCUUUUGAACCGGCGCCGUGCUUGGGAUUGACCAUUGCAAUUGUUGGUCAUGCAACGAGGAAUGCCUUGUAAACGCGAGUCAUCAACUCGCAUUGAAUACGUCCCUGCCCUCUGUA